rnacentral:rRNA from 1 species
CCUACGGGAGGCAGCAGUGGGGGAUAUUGCACAAUGGGGGAAACCCUGAUGCAGCGACGCCGCGUGUGGGAAGACGGUCCUCUGGAUUGUAAACCACUGUCCCCAGGGACGAAGAUGACGGUACCUGGGGAGGAAGCUCCGGCUAACUACGUGCCAGCAGCCGCGGUAAUACGUAGGGAGCGAGCGUUGUUCGGAAUUACUGGGUGUAAAGGGAGCGGAGGCGGGACUGCAAGUUGGGUGUCAAAUCUACCGGCUCAACCGGUAGCCGCACUCAAAACUGCAGUUCUUGAGUGAAGUAGAGGCAGGCGGAAUUCCUAGUGUAGCGGUGAAAUGCGUAGAUAUUAGGAGGAACACCAGUGGCGAAGGCGGCCUACUGGGCUUUUACUGACGCUGAGGCUCGAAAGUGUGGGGAGCAAACAGGAUUAGAUACCCGGGUAGUC